rnacentral:rRNA from 1 species
CAUUGUCUCUCGAUAGAAUAGGAGAUAAGACCUGCCCAAUGAUAAUUUAAUGGCCGCAGUAAUUUGACUGUGCAAAGGUAGCAUAAUCAUUAGUUUUUUAAUUGAGGACUGGUAUGAAAGGUAUAACGAGGUAUUUGUUUUCUUGGGUGUAAUAUAAAAUUUUACUUUUUAGUUAAAAGGCUAAAAUAAAAUUAAGGGACGAGAAGACCCUAUAGAGUUUUAUAGAUAUAAUUAGGUUAUUUUAGAAAAUUUAAAAAUCUGGUGGAGUUUAUUUAGUUGGGGAGAUUUUGUAAUAAAACUUAUAAUUAUAGUAACAUUUAUAUAUGGCUAUAUGAUCCAAUUGUUGAUUAAAAUACUAAAUUACCUUAGGGAUAACAGCGUUAUUUUCUUGGAGAGUUCUUAUCAAUAAGGAAGUUUGCGACCUCGAUGUUGGAUUAAGAAAAUGGUUAAAUGUAGUCGUUUAACAAAUAGGUCUGUUCGACCUUUGAAUUCUUACAUGAUCU